rnacentral:rRNA from 1 species
UUGAAAAGAACUUUGAAGAGAGAGUUCAAGAGUACGUGAAACCGUUCAGGGGUAAACCUAAGAAACCCAAAAGAUCGAACGGGGAGAUUCAUCGUCAGCGGCGCUGGCUUCGCGUCGGUGGGCGAUGUUCCGUGGAGCCCUUGCGGAUCCUAUCACGGACACGCUACCGUGCGUCGAUGUCCGGCGCUCGUCGUCGUGCACUUCUCCCCUAGUAGGACGUCGCGACCCGCUGGGUGUCGGUCUACGGCCCGAGUGCGGUGACUGACGCGUCGCCGGUAAAACGGCACGCGUCAAACCCUCGGUCGCCCGGCCGGCUGCCCGGCGGUACACGCACGGUAUCAGGCCGCACAGUUCUCACGUGUGCGUCGGGACCGUCGCAAGCGCGCGCCACGGUACUCGGAGGUUACGGACCUAGCGCCGUCCCCGGUCCUGGCCCGCUGUUGGUCGUACGGAACUCCUCCGACAGGCCUCGAUUAGAACAUACCGGUCGGCGACGCUACUGCUUUGGGUACUCUUAGGACCCGUCUUGAAACACGGACCAAGGAGUCUAACAUGUACGCGAGUCAUUGGGACUAGCGAGACCUAAAGGCGCAAUGAAAGUGAAGGUCGGCCCUGGUUGUCGACCGAGGGAGGAUGGGCCGCGUCGCGAUGCGGCUCCGCACUCCCGGGGCGUCUCGUUCUCAUUGCGAGAAGAGGCGCACCCAGAGCGUACACGUUGGGACCCGAAAGAUGGUGAACUAUGCCUGGUCAGGACGAAGUCAGGGGAAACCCUGAUGGAGGUCCGUAGCGAUUCUGACGUGCAAAUCGAUCGUCGGAACUGGGUAUAGGGGCGAAAGACUAAUCGAACCAUCUAGUAGCUGGUUCCCUCCGAAGUUUCCCUCAGGAUAGCUGGCACUCGGCCGUUCCGCCAGGAACGCGCGCGAGUCUCAUCUGGUAAAGCGAAUGAUUAGAGGCCUUGGGGCCGAAACGACCUCAACCUAUUCUCAAACUUUAAAUGGGUGAGAUCUCUGGCUUUCUUGAAUUAUGAAGCCACGAGCAUCUCGGAUCAGAGUGCCAAGUGGGCCAUUUUUGGUAAGCAGAACUGGCGCUGUGGGAUGAACCAAACGCAGAGUUAAGGCGCCCAACUCGACGCUCAUGGGACACCAUGAAAGGCGUUGGUUGCUUAAGACAGCAGGACGGUGGCCAUGGAAGUCGGAAUCCGCUAAGGAGUGUGUAACAACUCACCUGCCGAAGCAACUAGCCCUGAAAAUGGAUGGCGCUGAAGCGUCGAGCCUAUACUCUGCCGUCAGCGGCAAGUGGGACGGCCGCGUGCAAGCGCGGUCGUCACGAAGCCCUGACGAGUAGGAGGGUCGCGGCGGUGUGCGCAGAAGGGUCU